rnacentral:pre_miRNA from 1 species
AUAGUACUCCCUCCGUCCCAAAAUUCUUGUCUUAGAUUUGUCUAAAUACGGAUGUAUCAAGUCAUGUUUUAGUAUUAGAUACAUCCGUAUCUAGACAAAUCUAAGACAAGAAUUUUGGGACGGAGGGAGUAUUUC